CAAUAGCGUAUAUUUAAGUUGCUGCAGUUAAAAAGCUCGUAGUUGGAUUUCGGGUGGGAAUGGCCGGUCCGCCGUUUCGGUGUGCACUUGCUACGCCCACCUUGCUGCCGGGGACGUGCUCUUGAGUUCACGCUCGGGACACGGAGUCGGCGAGGUUACUUUGAGUAAAUUAGAGUGUUCAAAGCAGGCCUACGCCUGAAUACAUUAGCAUGGAAUAAUAAAAUAGGACGUGUGGUUCUAUUUUGUUGGUUUCUAGAAUCAUCGUAAUGAUUAAUAGGGAUAGUUGGGGGCAUUAGUAUUCAGUUGCUAGAGGUGAAAUUCUUGGAUUUACUGAAGACUAACUACUGCGAAAGCAUUUGCCAAGGAUGUUUUCAUUAA
rnacentral:rRNA from 1 species